CCAUCUCAUUUUUCACAAUACACAGAAACACAAGUUGAGUAUACACCUCCUGUAUUUUCUGAUUUGUUUUGUGUUGGUUGUUUUGUGUGUGUGCAUGUGUGUAUGUGGUUAACUGUAAAAGAGAUUUUAUAUUGCUUCAGUUCUCCUAAUUUAUAAAAAUGUAUAAAUCUUUUCCAGAGAUAACUUUAAAUAAAUUUAGUAUUUGUGAAUUGUUUGGUAUCUCUGACAGAAAUGUACCUAUCUUUUUUUCAUUCAGAGAACAGAAGCAAAACAGAUCGAUCAACUCAAGCUAUUGCUUAUGAUGAUUCAUCCAGCCACACAAGCUUAUUUUUCUUUAGCUGAAGAACUCUCCUUGAACUCUGCAAACCCAUUUAAUUCUACACAGAGGUAGAAGACUAGAGUCUUGAUAUUUGGAGGAACUGAAUGUUGAAGAGGGUUGAAUAGACAGAACGGUUUCAGUUUUAAAGGCCAUUACAAACAUCUCUGCAAUCUACUCCUCUGUAUCAUAUGGAUGACAGAGAAUCAGACCAAGCAAAACUCCCAUUAAAGUAAAUGAAAAUUGCGCCUGUGUAAAGGCAUCUGUAACCCAAUAAAGGUGAAAUGGGAGCCACUCUUUCAUCACUUUAUUAGGAGAAGCAAGAACUGUCCUGCAGAAUGCAUCUUAAAAAACAAGCAAACAAACAAACAAACACCUCAGAACAUAUCAGCUAAUCAAGAAUAGGACAAUGUGUAUUGCUCAUCCUUACCAGCCAAUGUUCCAUUAACAAUCCAGAGUUUUGUCACUUGGACUCAUCUUUAUAAGUAAAGGCUGUACUCUUCUGCUGACUCAUGAGGCCUGCUCUGCCUAUUACUUCACUACAAGUUGCAGACACUUUGUUGGACUUUUGACGUUUGAUGGCUCUUUAUAAAUGUAAUGAAUAAGUCUUGGUAAAUUCCUUGUGAAAACUAUUUCAAGAAGAGGUAAGCAAAAAAAAAAAAAGAAACGGACAUGGAUUCAAGAAAGAGAAGGAAGACAGAGGUUACAGAAAUAAGAAAUCUCCACAGAAAAGAUAAAACCUCUUUCUCGUAAAAGAAACAUUUGAAAAUGAAAUUUUGCUAAAAAUACAGUCAGCAUGCGAAGGAGCAUGCUGUCUCAUGCUAAGCUGCAGCAGAAUGUUCUGAACCCCAAGACCAAUAAAAACUUCUCUCUUUUAA